AGUUUCAGCUCCUAGCUUCAGCUCUAUUCAAGUCUGGUUCAGAUUUUACAGCUCUAGGCUUUUCGGAUGUGGAUCACACCUAUGCUCAAAGAACUCAACUCUUUGACACCUUGGUAAAUUUCUUUCCUGACAGCAUGACUCCUCCUAAAGGCAACCUGGUAGACCUCAUCACACUGUAACUGAAGAGUCACUGGACACACAAAUGAAGAACAGGCAUCUGCUUUCAGUGUUUUGGACUGCAGCUCUAUUGACCGAUAAUUAAGCUACAGUGAUUGAGGACUGUACCAGAGUUACCAUCACAAAUUUAAUACUCUUCGUUCAUACUUGACCUCAACCCCAUAAAUUUCAUCCUAUUCCUAAAGGCUAAUAAAGUGAAAUUGGUAUACUUUCCAUUUAAAUAUA